CAGCCUCACACUGCCUGGUGUUGGGGAUGGUGUUCGGAGCCCAUUCGCUCUCCAGGGAAGCACUUCCCAGAUGGGUGAGCAACCAUGGCCUUUCCUGUUGACUCCAGAUAUCGUGUUAGUAGCCAGAGUCUACAAGCCACACACUGUCCCGCUGGCCAGGAGUGCCACGAUUUACGUGUCUAGAGCCAAUCCCCAGCCACAUGGAACACCUGCAUUCCAGGUCUUUGUCUGAGACAGUAGCCCCAAACUGCCUGCCGCCCUGUCUCUGAAAAGCAGAGCUGAAGGAAAUACUCUACACAGAGAAUAAUCUGAAGAUGAGGAUGGCGUUAAUCCUUGCAUUCUUCUAUCUGUCAUUUCUGAAUGAAGCUACCAUCGGUGCGCAGCAGAUCUGAUCCACUUCUCCUGGGCCUUCCAGGGAACGGCCUUCACCAGGUCACGGUCCCAUUCCUGUGUGGCCUUGACUUACCAGCAAGGGUGUCAGGGAGGACGGAGACUUCUGUAUGACUCAGGGCCCACAUGAGCCCCACCCCCCCACACACACACAAAACAAGUCUUGUUCCUUCCAAGGAACGGGCCUGCUUCUUCCUUAAGGAGUGUGUGUUUUUUUCCUCAUUUUCCUUUUUGGCUUUGGCCUCCCAGAAGCCCAGAGCCAAAUUUUAGUAAUUACAUAAGACUUUGCAUAGCUGCUUACUAUUUUUAUCUUAUCUGUCUUGUCUUUUAUAUUUCCUCUGGAUUUUAAUUUUAAAGAUCUUGAAUUUAUAUUUUUGAACUUU